rnacentral:rRNA from 1 species
CCGCGGGAUUAGAGUUUGAUCCUGGCUCAGAGCGAACGCUGGCGGCGUGCUUAACACAUGCAAGUCGAACGCGCAGCAUUCUGUAGCAAUACAGGGUGUGGGCGCGUGGCGAACGGGUGCGUAACACGUGGAUAACCUUCCUUGAGGUGGGGAAUAACCCAGUGAAAAUUGGGCUAAUACCGCAUAACAUCGCGAUGGCACAUGCUGAUGCGAUCAAAGGCGCAAGUCGCCACAAGAGGGAUCCGCGGCCGAUUAGCUUGUUGGCGAGGUAAUGGCUCACCAAGGCAAUGAUCGGUAGCCGGACUGAGAGGUUGGCCGGCCACACUGGAACUGAGACACGGUCCAGACUCCUACGGGAGGCAGCAGUGGGGAAUCUUGCACAAUGGACGAAAGUCUGAUGCAGCAACGCCGCGUGGGGGAUGAAGCUUCUCGGAGUGUAAACCCCUUUCGACCCGGAAGAAUGCCCGCAAGGGUAUGACGGUACGGGUAUAAGAAGCCCCGGCUAACUACGUGCCAGCAGCCGCGGUAAUACGUAGGGGGCCAGCGUUGCUCGGAAUUACUGGGCGUAAAGGGUCCGUAGGCGGUGUAGCAAGUCGAUAGUGAAAUCUCUGGGCUUAACCCAGAGGCUGCUAACGAAACUGCUGUGCUAGAGUGUGAGAGAGGCGAGUGGAAUUACGGGUGUAGCGGUGAAAUGCGUAGAUACCCGUAGGAACAUCCGAGGCGAAGGCGGCUCGCUGGAUCACAACUGACGCUGAGGGACGAAAGCUAGGGGAGCAAACAGGAUUAGAUACCCUGGUAGUCCUAGCCCUAAACCAUCAGGACUUGGGGUUUGCCCUGUACGGGGCAAGUCCCGUAGCUAACGCGUUAAGUCCUGCGCCUGGGGAGUACGGUCGCAAGGCUGAAACUC